CGAAUGCUGACAUAAGUAACGAUAAAGCGGGUGAAAAGCCCGCUCGCCGGAAGACCAAGGGUUCCUGUCCAACGUUAAUCGGGGCAGGGUGAGUCGACCCCUAAGGCGAGGCCGAAAGGCGUAGUCGAUGGGAAACAGGUUAAUAUUCCUGUACUUGGUGUUACUGCGAAGGGGGGACGGAGAAGGCUAUGUUGGCCGGGCGACGGUUGUCCCGGUUUAAGCGUGUAGGCUGGUUUUCCAGGCAAAUCCGGAAAAUCAAGGCUGAGGCGUGAUGACGAGGCACUACGGUGCUGAAGCAACAAAUGCCCUGCUUCCAGGAAAAGCCUCUAAGCAUCAGGUAACAUCAAAUCGUACCCCAAACCGACACAGGUGGUCAGGUAGAGAAUACCAAGGCGCUUGAGAGAACUCGGGUGAAGGAACUAGGCAAAAUGGUGCCGUAACUUCGGGAGAAGGCACGCUGAUAUGUAGGUGAAGUCCCUCGCGGAUGGAGCUGAAAUCAGUCGAAGAUACCAGCUGGCUGCAACUGUUUAUUAAAAACACAGCACUGUGCAAACACGAAAGUGGACGUAUACGGUGUGACGCCUGCCCGGUGCCGGAAGGUUAAUUGAUGGGGUCAGCGCAAGCGAAGCUCUUGAUCGAAGCCCCGGUAAACGGCGGCCGUAACUAUAACGGUCCUAAGGUAGCGAAAUUCCUUGUCGGGUAAGUUCCGACCUGCACGAAUGGCGUAAUGAUGGCCAGGCUGUCUCCACCCGAGACUCAGUGAAAUUGAACUCGCUGUGAAGAUGCAGUGUACCCGCGGCAAGACGGAAAGACCCCGUGAACCUUUACUAUAGCUUGACACUGAACAUUGAGCCUUGAUGUGUAGGAUAGGUGGGAGGCUUUGAAGUGUGGACGCCAGUCUGCAUGGAGCCGACCUUGAAAUACCACCCUUUAAUGUUUGAUGUUCUAACGUGGACCCGUGAUCCGGGUUGCGGACAGUGUCUGGUGGGUAGUUUGACUGGGGCGGUCUCCUCCUAAAGAGUAACGGAGGAGCACGAAGGUUGGCUAAUCCUGGUCGGACAUCAGGAGGUUAGUGCAAUGGCAUAAGCCAGCUUGACUGCGAGCGUGACGGCGCGAGCAGGUGCGAAAGCAGGUCAUAGUGAUCCGGUGGUUCUGAAUGGAAGGGCCAUCGCUCAACGGAUAAAAGGUACUCCGGGGAUAACAGGCUGAUACCGCCCAAGAGUUCAUAUCGACGGCGGUGUUUGGCACCUCGAUGUCGGCUCAUCACAUCCUGGGGCUGAAGUAGGUCCCAAGGGUAUGGCUGUUCGCCAUUUAAAGUGGUACGCGAGCUGGGUUUAGAACGUCGUGAGACAGUUCGGUCCCUAUCUGCCGUGGGCGCUGGAGAACUGAGGGGGGCUGCUCCUAGUACGAGAGGACCGGAGUGGACGCAUCACUGGUGUUCGGGUUGUCAUGCCAAUGGCACUGCCCGGUAGCUAAAUGCGGAAGAGAUAAGUGCUGAAAGCAUCUAAGCACGAAACUUGCCCCGAGAUGAGUUCUCCCUGACCCUUUAAGGGUCCUGAAGGAACGUUGAAGACGACGACGUUGAUAGGCCGGGUGU
rnacentral:rRNA from 1 species